rnacentral:rRNA from 1 species
GACGAACGCUGGCGGCGUGCUUAACACAUGCAAGUCGAACGAUGAAGCUGGAGCUUGCUCCGGUGGAUUAGUGGCGAACGGGUGAGUAACACGUGAGCAAUCUGCCCUUGACUCUGGGAUAACUGCGGGAAACUGUAGCUAAUACCGGAUACGAGACCUGAAGGCAUCUUCGGGUCUGGAAAGUAUUUCGGUCAAGGAUGAGCUCGCGGCCUAUAAGCUUGUUGGCGAGGUAAUGGCUCACCAAGGCGACGACGGGUAGCCGGCCUGAGAGGGUGACCGGCCACACUGGGACUGAGACACGGCCCAGACUCCUACGGGAGGCAGCAGUGGGGAAUAUUGCACAAUGGGCGAAAGCCUGAUGCAGCAACGCCGCGUGAGGGAUGAAGGCCUUCGGGUUGUAAACCUCUUUUAGCAGGGAAGAAGCGAUAGUGACGGUACCUGCAGAAAAAGCACCGGCUAACUACGUGCCAGCAGCCGCAGUAACAC